rnacentral:tRNA from 1 species
CAAAUUAUAGCUUAUAGAAAGUUUUUUAUUUACAUUAAAAGGUUCAUUGUGCGAUUCAAUGUGAUUUGA